AUCUUCGGCAAUGGACGAAAGUCUGACCGAGCAACGCCGCGUAAGUGAAGAAGGUUUUCGGAUCGUAAAACUCUGUUGUAAGAGAAGAACACCAGUAAGAGUGGAAAGCUUACUGGCUGACGGUAUCUUACCAGAAAGCCACGGCUAACUACGUGCCAGCAGCCGCGGUAAUACGUAGGUGGCAAGCGUUGUCCGGAUUUAUUGGGCGUAAAGCGAGCGCAGGCGGUUCAUUAAGUCUGAUGUAAAAGGCAGUGGCUCAACCAUUGUAAGCAUUGGAAACUGGUGAACUUGAGUGCAGUAGAGGAGAGUGGAAUUCCAUGUGUAGCGGUGAAAUGCGUAGAUAUAUGGAGGAACACCGGAGGCGAAAGCGGCUCUCUGGACUGUAACUGACGCUGAGGCUCGAAAGCGUGGGGAGCAAACAG
rnacentral:rRNA from 1 species